AUAGGAAACACCUGGGAUCUUGUUAAAAUGCAGAUUCUGUUUCAGUAGGUCUGGGGUGUAGUCCAAGGUCCUGCAUUUCUAACAAUCUCCCAAGUGAUUCCAGU
rnacentral:pre_miRNA from 2 species